rnacentral:rRNA from 1 species
GGGACACGUGGUAUCCUGUCUGAAUAUGGGGGGACCAUCCUCCAAGGCUAAAUACUCCUGACUGACCGAUAGUGAACCAGUACCGUGAGGGAAAGGCGAAAAGAACCCCGGCGAGGGGAGUGAAAAAGAACCUGAAACCGUGUACGUACAAGCAGUGGGAGCCUCUUAAUGGGGUGACUGCGUACCUUUUGUAUAAUGGGUCAGCGACUUAUAUUCUGUAGCAAGGUUAACCGAAUAGGGGAGCCGAAGGGAAACCGAGUCUUAACUGGGCGUUAAGUUGCAGGGUAUAGACCCGAAACCCGGUGAUCUAGCCAUGGGCAGGUUGAAGGUUGGGUAACACUAACUGGAGGACCGAACCGACUAAUGUUGAAAAAUUAGCGGAUGACUUGUGGCUGGGGGUGAAAGGCCAAUCAAACCGGGAGAUAGCUGGUUCUCCCCGAAAGCUAUUUAGGUAGCGCCUCGUGAAUUCAUCUCCGGGGGUAGAGCACUGUUUCGGCAAGGGGGUCAUCCCGACUUACCAACCCGAUGCAAACUGCGAAUACCGGAGAAUGUUAUCACGGGAGACACACGGCGGGUGCUAACGUCCGUCGUGAAGAGGGAAACAACCCAGACCGCCAGCUAAGGUCCCAAAGUCAUGGUUAAGUGGGAAACGAUGUGGGAAGGCCCAGACAGCCAGGAUGUUGGCUUAGAAGCAGCCAUCAUUUAAAGAAAGCGUAAUAGCUCACUGGUCGAGUCGGCCUGCGCGGAAGAUGUAACGGGGCUAAACCAUGCACCGAAGCUGCGGCAGCGACACUA